UUUAAUCCAAUGGCCAAAAAGCCCCCAUAUGUUUUGAUAUAAGUGUCAUAAUAACCUCGUAUCUAUACCAUCCCCUUUCGUCUUAAAACCCAGACCUACCCCCAUCACGAACCACCACCCGCUGCCUGGUGGGAAUCACCCACGGCGGUGGCCGGUGUCUAAUUGCCGCCAAACUCACACCAAAUCACCACCUCACCAUCCUUUUUCUAGACCUCCACUUCACUUCUUUCAAGAUCCCUAGCACCUUUCAAAUCUUCAAUUAAAUAUUAAAACCCUAGCAGCUGCCAUUUACCUGCCGGCGGCACCGCGCCGAAGCACCCUCAAAGAUCAUACCACACUCCCCUCAUACCUAGAGUCCCGAUUCUGUACCAACUCUCCCAAAAUCUUCACCAAACACAACCAGUUCUGAAUCUAAAGAGACCUUUCAAGAAAUAUUGGGACUAAAUUGAUAUUAUUUGUGUGUCCUGAAGGAGGACAUUCGGAUAAUAUUGAUUUUGUUCAAAUCAAUGAUUGCCGGAGUUCAAUCCCAUGUUUGUCCUUCUUUUUAGGUAUCUUCACUUCACAUUUGUGUUAUCCACCUCUUUGUCUAUUUUCGUUGUGAAAGUUGAUUUGGGUUUACUGUUCACAAAACUCUAUUUCCGGGUGAAGUCUACCAAGUUCUUACUCUUGUUGUUAAUGAUGUUGCUGAUUGCUCUUGAUUCUUUUACUCAAAUUCUAAUUUUUUCUUUGCCAUAUUCAGGUACACACAUUGAUACCAAAUGUAAAGUUUGAUUCAUGUAUCAUGAAGAGAUGAAGAUCUCCUUACCUGUUGAAUGUGUUCAUCCUCUUCUUGUUUUCUAUUUUAUUCGAAUCGUUCAUUCAUGUUAUUGUUUAAAUGUUUGAACUCAUGUAGUGUUAUGAAUAUUUGAGACUCAUUUCAAUACUUAUAAUAAUUGGACUGUAGUUGCUUGGACCUUAAGUAUAGAUGUUAAGUAGGUUUUCUUUGUUUUUCUCUGAAAUUGUGUGUAUCAAAGUGACCUGCAAGUAGUAUUUUCCAUUUGUAUUAACUACAGACUUGAUUUAUAGUAGUUAACCGUGGUUAUUUGGGUGUA
rnacentral:lncRNA from 1 species